CUGACGAGUGGCGGACGGGUGAGUAAUGCUUGGGAAUCUGGCUUAUGGAGGGGGAUAACUACGGGAAACUGUAGCUAAUACCGCGUAAAAUCUUCGGAUUAAAGGGUGGGACUUUCGGGCCACCUGCCAUAAGAUGAGCCCAAGUGGGAUUAGGUAGUUGGUUAGGUAAAGGCUGACCAAGCCGACGAUCUCUAGCUGGUCUGAGAGGAUGACCAGCCACACUGGAACUGAGACACGGUCCAG
rnacentral:rRNA from 1 species